UCUUUUGACUCUGGCCUCAAAUCAGGUAGGACUACCCGCUGAACUUAAGCAUAUCAAUAAGCGGAGGA
rnacentral:rRNA from 1 species